AUAAACGCUGAAAACUACUUAAUUGAUGGCUCUAGUUUCUAAAUUAUAAAAUGAUAGAACAAUUUGUUACAUGCACAAAGGACUAAAUGGCUCUAGUUUCUAAUUUUUUUUCAGUUAUAAUUAUAUUUAUAUUCAUAAUUCUCCUUGCACUGAACAUUGAAGGUAAGAAUUUUUUAUUCUUAAUAAACUUCAUUCUUUAAUUCGUACAUAAUAUUUUAUCAUAUAUUAUUUAAAUUGUUUUAUUCUCAUUUUUACAGCGACUAGAUAUAAAUGUAAACAAGACUCCGAUUGUAUAGGUCGUCUUCGUUGUUCAAAAUCAUUUAAAGCAGUUUGUAUUAAUAAACGUUGUGUACGAGUUAAAGUCAUUAAUGAUUAAACUUCUGAAUGAUUUUGUAUUUAGUUUCAUACUUAAGAUUGGUAUACACUGAAAUAUUUCAUAAGUUAUCAUUUAAUAUUUGUGUUUCUAUGUAAUAAUUUAAAUAUUUUUAUUUUUCUCGUUUCAUUAUAAUAAAAUAAAAUAAGAUAGAAAAUAAUAUCAAUUAGGUUGUGUUGUUUUCUUCUAAA
rnacentral:lncRNA from 1 species